rnacentral:rRNA from 1 species
GCACAAGCGUGGAGUAUGUGGUUUAAUUCGAUGCAACGCGAAGAACCUUACCUGGUCUUGACAUCCCGGAGACCCUUAGGAAACUAGGGGGUGCUUCCAUCUGGAAGAAUCUGGAGACAGGUGCUGCAUGGCUGUCGUCAGCUCGUGUCGUGAGAUGUUGGGUUAAGUCCCGCAACGAGCGCAACCCUUGCCUUUAGUUGCCAGCAGUUCGGCUGGGCACUCUAAAGGGACUGCCGGUGUUAAACCGGAGGAAGGUGGGGAUGACGUCAAGUCCUCAUGGCCUUUAUGACCAGGGCUACACACGUACUACAAUGGCCGAUACAAAGGGCAGCGACACUGCGAGGUGAAGCCAAUCCCGUAAAAUCGGUCUCAGUCCGGAUUGGAGUCUGCAACUCGACUCCAUGAAGUUGGAAUCGCUAGUAAUCGUGGAUCAGCAUGCCACGGUGAAUACGUUCCCGGGCCUU